CGCGCGUGAGCAACUUAGUCUAGCGUGGCAAAGCGCGUCCCGGCAGCACCAGCAAACAGCAACCAGUCCGCGUUCCUUUUUUUUUCUGACCGUGGGUCCCACCCAAAGCAUCUUCAACCUCCAGCCAGGAGUCCACCGCGAGCACGGGAUCGAUCUUGAUCCAAAUCCCCGGAAAAACUCGCGGAAUUUGUUAUCCCUAACCACGAUUUCUUCCCCUAUAAAUACACAUCUCUCUCCUCCGUUUUUCCCCUUUAAAGCCUUAAAAUUUGAGCCGUCAGGGCUGCCAAAAUUUUCUUGCCAGAGUUCAUCUCGGCCGCCUUCGACACUCGUCGAUUCCGACGAAAAUCCGCAACCAAUCGACGAACUGGUCUUCAACCUCACCUCACCGAUGGCUGUGUCGCCUCCGGCCGCCUCCACUCGAAGUUCGAGGAAGCGCCUAAGCACGUUGUUGUUACCAUCAGGUUCCCUGCGUCGUGCUGAACCUCGUCGACGUCUUCACAUCGCGGCGGCAGAAACCCGAGGAUGCCGAGAACCAUCGGGUCCAUGACGUCCGGCCGCCACCUCGCGACAUCUCUGCCACUGUAAGCCAAUGUACAGUUUAGAGUAGAUUUUGCAGAUCCGUCCUAGAUCGUUUGAUCUAGAUCUAAGGGUUCUGCUAGGCCAGCUAUCUGUACUAUGUGAAUCUGUUUUGCUCAGACCAAUCGAUCGGUUCGUGACUACUA